UCCACAGGUUAGGAGUGGAAGGAUUUAGUUAUAUAAGAAUCAAUCUUAAAAUUAAUUUAUUUGAGUUUUGGUCUAGGGACGUUAAGCUCGUGAUGAAGGAUUUGUUUCAACGGACAACAAGGAAAGGGUAUCCAGUUUUCUGGAAUUAAAAUGCGCAGCCACGGUUGUGCAUUCUAGCAAACUUUGAGUGACGUCGGUCAACCGUUCCAAGAUGGCGGACGCGUCUACGUUCCCGAAGCGCUUCAAAUAGGCAUCUAGUUCUUUAUAUCUAUGGUUUUAGGACCCGCUUAAAUUCCUCGCUCUGCAUGUAGCGGGCCUUUAUCAUGCUGACUGGAGCCAGUGUGGGGGAAACCAAGCUACCAAAAAUGGAACCAAGUGGCAAUAAUAAUCCCUAUGCUCAAUGGGAUCCGAAGACGUUUGCAGGAAGCUGAACUCCAUAGUUGAAACCCAAUGAGUUUUCAAGUGUGGAUUUAAGGCACCAUAGAAGAGAAAAUGUCUCCAGCAUGUGCAUCGACCUAGAGGUUUUCAUGUGUGGAUUUAAGGUCUCCAAAGGAUGGACAUUUCUUGUGCAUCUAUUCACAGGUUAACAUAAUGCCAGGAUGAAUGAGUCGUUCAGAUCACUAGAAGCUUCAAUGCAGUUGUCUUAAAGCUGGUUGGAGCCAUACUGCAUGAUACAGGGCCUUCCAGCGCAAGAAUUGCCCACCCUGAGCUAUUGUGUGGUGUACUUUACUGUAAAAUGUAUACGUUAUGAUGCCAGUUUGUUUAUUUAAAUUGCUUUGGUUUAAGCCCUAAUGGUAAACUGUAAUACUUUAAGUAAUGAUUCAUGAGAAUAAUAGAAUGAUUAAUAAAAUAAGUUUGAAAAGAA